GAGCGGUAAGGCCCUUCGGGGUACACGAGCGGCGAACGGGUGAGUAACACGUGGGUGACCUGCCUCUAGCUCUGGGAUAAGCCUGGGAAACUGGGUCUAAUACUGGAUAUGACUCCACGGCGCAUGUUGUGGGGUGGAAAGCCUUGUGUGGCUAGAGAUGGGCCCGCGGCCUAUCAGCUUGUUGGUGGGGUGAUGGCCUACCAAGGCGACGACGGGUAGCCGGCCUGAGAGGGUGACCGGCCACACUGGGACUGAGACACGGCCCAGACUCCUACGGGAGGCAGCAGUGGGGAAUCUUGCGCAAUGGGCGAAAGCCUGACGCAGCGACGCCGCGUGAGGGAUGACGGCCUUCGGGUUGUAAACCUCUUUCAGCCCUGACGAAGCGAAAGUGACGGUAGGGGCAGAAGAAGCACCGGCCAACUACGUG
rnacentral:rRNA from 1 species